GACGAACGCUGGCGGCGUGCCUAAUACAUGCAAGUAGAACGCACAGUUUAUACCGUAGCUUGCUACACCAUAGACUGUGAGUUGCGAACGGGUGAGUAACGCGUAGGUAACCUGCCUGGUAGCGGGGGAUAACUAUUGGAAACGAUAGCUAAUACCGCAUAAUAUUGAUUAUUGCAUGAUAAUUGAUUGAAAGAUGCUAUUGCAUCACUACCAGAUGGACCUGCGUUGUAUUAGCUAGUAGGUGAGGUAACGGCUCACCUAGGCGACGAUACAUAGCCGACCUGAGAGGGUGAUCGGCCACACUGGGACUGAGACACGGCCCAGACUCCUACGGGAGGCAGCAGUAGGGAAUCUUCGGCAAUGGACGAAAGUCUGACCGAGCAACGCCGCGGGAGUGAAGAAGGGUUUCGGAUCGUAAAGCUCUGUUGUAAGAGAAGAACGGGUGUGAGAGUGGAAAGUUCACACUGUGACGGUAGCUUACCAGAAAGGGACGGCUAACUACGUG
rnacentral:rRNA from 1 species